CCGUCACCGUCGUGCGCCAGCGCCUGAAAUUCGGCGCGAUCGGCGCCAGUUCGUUCGGCACGAACAGAUCGGCCUGCACCCGUUCGAUCGAUGUCGGCUGGCGUAGCAGCGACAGCACGGUAUAGGGCAGAAAGGUUAGCGGCAAGCUCCAGCAANGAGCGACAGGCUCCAGAACACGCCAUGGAUCAGCGGGGCCAUCUCGGUGCCGAGCAACGCG
rnacentral:misc_RNA from 1 species